AAAGCAAAAAUCCCUAAAACCUAAACUACACUCUGACCUCCUUUCUCUCCCGCUGCCACCUCCCCUUCCCCACUUUUCUAUUUCAUUCUUUAACCAAGGCUAAAUUAAGAAGAUCGAGAAUGACAAAGAAGAGCGAGAGAGAACCCAAUCGCUUCUCUAUUCUCGGGCAGUCGGGCAGAAGAGAUUGGUGGAGUUAGAGCAAUGACAAGUUAAAACCAAGAUAAGGUGCAGUUAAAGACCCGAGGAGGAAUGAAAGAAGAAGACGGUGUCCUAGAAAAAUUGUGCAUCGUGAAUGCUUCGAAAUUUACAAUUAUGUGUAACUUGAAACCUAUUGUGGAAUAUAAAUUCUUUUUAUCCUUA